GACGAACGCUGGCGGCGUGCCUAAUACAUGCAAGUCGAACGCAGUGGGGACGGGUGAGUAACACGUGGGUAACCUCCCAUCAGAGGGGAUAACACUUGGAAACAGGUGCUAAACCGAUACUGAUGGAUGGACCCGCGGUUCAUUAGCUAGUUGGUGAGGUAACUGCUCACAAAGGCCACGAUGCAUAGCCGACCUGGAAGGGUGAUCUGCAACAAUGGGACUGGGACACGGCACAGACGCCUACGGGAGGCUGCAGUAGGGAAUAUUCGGCAAGAGACGAAAGUCUGACCGAGCAACGCCGCGUGAGUGAAGAAGGUUUUCGGAUCGUAAAACUCUGUUGUUAGAGAAGCGGUAUCUAACCAGAAAGCCACGGCUAAGUAGGGGCCAGCCGCCGCGGUAAUAC
rnacentral:rRNA from 1 species